rnacentral:other from 1 species
GUUGAAACAAGCAUAAAUCCCUAUUAGGGAUUAAAAC